UAUCAAGCCACCUUAAUUGACUAGAGAUCCAAGCUAGUCCUUUUUGUAUUUUAGUUUAUUGUCAUCAUCAUCUUUUAGAGGAUGAUUUCUGUAACACUUGAAAUGUAUUAACGCAGCAUUUCUUUUAGAAGGUAUGCUUCUUACAACUUGAAAUGAAUUUAAAUGUGUUUUUUUUGUGUGGCGCAGCGUUACUACAAACUAUCUCUUCCACAUAACAAGAUCCCUGAUGAACUCUGUCAGCUGGCUAAGAAAAUGGCUGCUUCCGCAAUGCCCAUGUGAGAAGAAUUUCAGCCAGAAGGUGCAAUAGUAAACUAUUUUGCACCAGGAGAUACACUAGGGUGGGCACUUGGAUGACAUGGAAGCUGAUUGGAGUAAACCUAUUGUAAGCAUGAGGUAUCUUGGGAAUUCUUUAUUCUAUCAUUUUCUCGAACGUUUUCAACCCAAAGAAGAGGUGUUAGUUGCUGGCUCGAUCUUUCUCUCCCCUCUGUUUGGGCUGCAAGGCUAUUUUCCUUUCGGGUGGAAAGUCUAGAGAUGAUCCACCAUUAGCAGUGUUCUCCAAAGUGGUGAUGUGGUGCUCAUGGCUGGAGAAGCAGGGGAAUGUUUUCAUGGUGAUUGAAAGCCUCUGGAAUAUCUUGAAUUAAAGAUUUGUAUUUUUUUCUAAAUAAAGCUUUCAUCCUCAUGUUUUACCCUCAAAAUUUAGCCUUACAUGGGUAAACCGUAAAACUCAAGUCAAAGGAGAGUUUCUGGUUUAUUUUCGAUAGGCAGCCAAAAACCUACCUCAAUUCACUGAACUUCCACACAUGAAAUUCAUAUUUUCUGUGAACUAUGAAGAAGCUGUUUAUAGCAAGAAUUAAUUGACAUCAUUGUGCUUA